CAUCUUCCUCAUCACACAAACUCUUGAGGUUGUCAAAAAAAGGGUCGAAAAAGCGGCGCCUGACGCAUACAACAAAUACUGCUGGCAGUAA
rnacentral:ribozyme from 1 species